rnacentral:rRNA from 1 species
GACGAACGCUGGCGGCGUGCCUAAUACAUGCAAGUCGAGCGGAAGUUGGAGAGCUUGCUCUUCAACUUUAGCGGCGGACGGGUGAGUAACACGUGGGCAACCUGCCCUGCAGAUCGGGAUAACUCCGGGAAACCGGUGCUAAUACCGAAUAGUUUUCGCCACCUCCUGGUGGCGUACGGCAAGACGGUUUCGGCUGUCACUGCAGGCUGGGCCCGCGGCGCAUUAGCUAGUUGGUGGGGUAACGGCCCACCAAGGCGACGAUGCGUAGCCGACCUGAGAGGGUGAUCGGCCACACUGGGACUGAGACACGGCCCAGACUCCUACGGGAGGCAGCAGUAGGGAAUCUUCCGCAAUGGACGAAAGUCUGACGGAGCAACGCCGCGUGAGUGACGAAGGUUUUCGGAUCGUAAAACUCUGUUGUGAGGGAAGAACAAGUACCACUUAACUACUGGUACCUUGACGGUACCUCACCAGAAAGCCACGGCUAACUACGUGCCAGCAGCCGCGGUAAAAC